GGGCCCAUAGCUCAGCAGUAGAGCGCGACCUUCGCAAGGUUGAGGCCGCGGGUGCGAUUCCCGCUGGGUCCA
rnacentral:tRNA from 1 species